rnacentral:rRNA from 1 species
GACGAACGCUGGCGGCGUGCCUAAUACAUGCAAGUCGAACGCUUCUUUCCUCCCGAGUGCUUGCACUCAAUUGGAAAGAGGAGUGGCGGACGGGUGAGUAACACGUGGGUAACCUACCCAUCAGAGGGGGAAACACUUGGAAACAGGUGCUAAUACCGCAUAACAGUUUAUGCCGCAUGGCAUAAGAGUGAAAGGCGCUUUCGGGUGUCGUUGAUGGAUGGACCCGCGGUGCAUUAGCUAGUUGGUGAGGUAACGGCUCACCAAGGCCACGAUGCAUAGCCGACCUGAGAGGGUGAUCGGCCACACUGGGACUGAGACACGGCCCAGACUCCUACGGGAGGCAGCAGUAGGGAAUCUUCGGCAAUGGACGAAAGUCUGACCGAGCAACGCCGCGUGAGUGAAGAAGGUUUUCGGAUCGUAAAACUCUGUUGUUAGAGAAGAACAAGGACGUUAGUAACUGAACGUCCCCUGACGGUAUCUAACCAGAAAGCCACGGCUAACUACGUG